rnacentral:rRNA from 1 species
ACGGGUGAGUAAAGUAUCGGAACGUGCCCAGUCGUGGGGGAUAACGUAGCGAAAGUUACGCUAAUACCGCAUACGAUCUAUGGAUGAAAGCGGGGGAUCGCAAGACCUCGCGCGAUUGGAGCGGCCGAUAUCAGAUUAGGUAGUUGGUGGGGUAAAGGCUCACCAAGCCGACGAUCUGUAGCUGGUCUGAGAGGACGACCAGCCACACUGGGACUGAGACACGGCCCAGACUCCUACGGGAGGCAGCAGUGGGGAAUUUUGGACAAUGGGCGCAAGCCUGAUCCAGCCAUGCCGCGUGCAGGAUGAAGGCCUUCGGGUUGUAAACUGCUUUUGUACGGAACGAAAAGGUUUGGCCUAAUAAGCUGAGCUCAUGACGGUACCGUAAGAAUAAGCACCGGCUAACUACGUGCCAGCAGCCGCGGUGAUACGUAGGGUGCGAGCGUUGUCCGGAUUUAUUGGGCGUAAAGGGCUCGUAGGUGGUUGAUCGCGUCGGAAGUGUAAUCUUGGGGCUUAACCCUGAGCGUGCUUUCGAUACGGGUUGACUUGAGGAAGGUAGGGGAGAAUGGAAUUCCUGGUGGAGCGAUGGAAUGCGCAGAUAUCCGGAGGAACACCAGUGGCGCGAAGGCGGUUCUCUGGGCCUUUCCUGACGCUGAGGAGCGAAAGCGUGGGGAGCGAACAGGCUUAGAUACCCUGGUAGUCCACGCUGUAAACGGUGGGUACUAGGUGUGGGGUCCAUUCCACGGGUUCCGUGCCGUAGCUAACGCUUUAAGAACCCCGCCUGGGGAGUACGGCCGCAAGGCUAAAACUCAAAGGAAUUGACGGGGCCCCGCACAAGCGGCGGAGCAUGCGGAUUAAUUCGAUGCAACGCGUAGAACCUUACCUGGGUUUGACAUGGAUCGGGAGUGCUCAGAGAUGGGUGUGCCUCUUUUGGGGUCGGUUCACAGGUGGUGCAUGGCUGUCGUCAGCUCGUGUCGUGAGAUGUUGGGUCAAGUCCCGCAACGAGCGCAACCCUUGUUCACUGUUGCCAGCACGUUACGGUGGGACUCAGUGGAGACCGCCGGGGUCAACUCGGAGGAAGGUGGGGAUGACGUCAAGUCAUCAUGCCCCUUAUGUCCAGGGCUUCACGCAUGCUACAAUGGCUGGUACAGAGAGUGGCGAGCCUGUGAGGGUGAGCG